rnacentral:sRNA from 12 species
CUCCACGCUGGGUAAUGGACGACGGCGGCGUGUGGCGAACAGGGAUACCGGUAGUCAGUGUCUGGAACAUCCCAAGGGGCGGCGGAGCUAGCACCCCGACACGUUAAGGCUGGCGAGU